rnacentral:rRNA from 1 species
CCUACGGGAGGCAGCAGUGGGGGAUAUUGCACAAUGGGGGAAACUCUGAUGCAGCGACGCCGCGUGCGCGAAGAAGUAUUUCGGUAUGUAAAGCUCUAUCAGCAGGGAAGAAGAAAUGACGGUACCUGAGUAAGAAGCACCGGCUAAAUACGUGCCAGCAGCCGCGGUAAUACGUAUGGUGCAAGCGUUAUCCGGAUUUACUGGGUGUAAAGGGAGCGCAGGCGGCACGGCAAGCCUGAUGUGAAAGCCCGCGGCCCAACCGCGGGACUGCAUUGGGAACUACCGGGCUGGAGUGCCGGAGAGGUAGGCGGAAUUCCUAGUGUAGCGGUGAAAUGCGUAGAUAUUAGGAGGAACACCAGUGGCGAAGGCGGCCUACUGGACGGUGACUGACGCUGAGGCUCGAAAGCGUGGGGAGCAAACAGGAUUAGAUACCCGAGUAGUC